GAUGAACGCUGGCGGCGUGCCUAAUACAUGCAAGUCGAGCGAACAGACGAGGAGCUUGCUCCUCUGACGUUAGCGGCGGACGGGUGAGUAACACGUGUAUAACCUACCUAUAAGACUGGGAUAACUUCGGGAAACCGGAGCUAAUACCGGAUAAUAUAUUGAACCGCAUGGUUCAAUAGUGAAAGACGGUUUUGCUGUCACUUAUAGAUGGAUCCGCGCCGUAUUAGCUAGUUGGUAAGGUAACGGCUUACCAAGGCGACGAUGCGUAGCCGACCGGAGAGGGUGAUAGGCCACCCUGGAAGUGAGCCGCGGACCAGACUCCUACGGGAGGGAGCAGUAGGCAAUCGGACGCAACGGGCGAAAGCCUGGCGGAGCAACGCCGCGCGAGUGAUGAAGGUCUUCGGAUCGUAAAACUCUGUUAUUAGGGAAGAACAGAUGUGUAAGUAACUAUGCACGUCUUGACGGUACCUAAUCAGAAAGCCACGGCUAACUACGUG
rnacentral:rRNA from 1 species